rnacentral:rRNA from 1 species
CCUACGGGAGGCAGCAGUGAGGAAUAUUGGUCAAUGGGCGCGAGCCUGAUCCAGCCAAGUAGCGUGAAGGAUGACUGCCCUACGGGUUUUAAACUUCUUUUAUAAAGGAAUAAAGUGAGGCACGUGGGCCUUUUUGUAUGUACUUUAUGAAUAAGGAUCGGCUAACUCCGUGCCAGCAGCCGCGGUAAUACGGAGGAUCCGAGCGUUAUCCGGAUUUUUUGGGUUUAAAGGGAGCGUAGAUGGGUUGUUAAGUCAGUUGUGAAAGUUUGCGGCUCAACCGUAAAAUUGCAAUUGAUACUGGCAGUCUUGAGUACAGUUGAGGUAGGCGGAAUUCGUGGUGUAGCGGUGAAAUGCUUAGAUAUCACGAAGAACUCCGAUUGCGAAGGCAGCUUACUAAACUGACACUGACAUUGAUGCUCGAAAGUGUGGGUAUCAAACAGGAUUAGAUACCCGGGUAGUC